UGCAGUCGUACGCUUCCUUCCUCCCGAGUGCUUGCACUCAAUUGGAAAGAGGAGUGGCGGACGGGUGAGUAACGCGUGGGUAACCUACCCAUCAGAGGGGGAUAACACUUGGAAACAGGUGCUAAUACCGCAUAACAGUUUAUGCCGCAUGGCAUAAGAGUGAAAGGCGCUUUCGGGUGUCGCUGAUGGAUGGACCCGCGGUGCAUUAGCUAGUUGGUGAGGUAACGGCUCACCAAGGCCACGAUGCAUAGCCGACCUGAGAGGGUGAUCGGCCACACUGGGACUGAGACACGGCCCAGACUCCUACGGGAGGCAGCAGUAGGGGAUCUUCGGCAAUGGACGAAAGUCUGACCGAGCAACGCCGCGUGAGUGAAGAAGGUUCUCGGAUCGUAAAACUCUGUUGUUAGAGAAGAACAAGGACGUUAGUAACUGAACGUCCCCUGACGGUAUCUAACCAGAAAGCCACGGCUAACUACGUGCCAGCAGCCGCGGUAAUACGUAGGUGGCAAGCGUUGUCCGGAUUUAUUGGGCGUAAAGCGAGCGCAGGCGGUUUCUUAAGUCUGAUGUGAAAGCCCCCGGCUCAACCGGGGAGGGUCACUGGAAACUGGGAGACUUGAGUGCAGAAGAGGAGAGUGGAAUUCCAUGUGUAGCGGUGAAAUGCGUAGAUAUAUGGAGGAACACCAGUGGCGAAGGCGGCUCUCUGGUCUGUAACUGACGCUGAGGCUCGAAAGC
rnacentral:rRNA from 1 species